AUUGAACGCUGGCGGCAGGCCUAACACAUGCAAGUCGAGCGGAUGAAGGGAGCUUGCUCCUGGAUUCAGCGGCGGACGGGUGAGUAAUGCCUAGGAAUCUGCCUGGUAGUGGGGGAUAACGUCCGGAAACGGGCGCUAAUACCGCAUACGUCCUGAGGGAGAAAGUGGUGGAUCUUCGGACCUCACGCUAUCAGAUGAGCCUAGGUCGGAUUAGCUAGUUGGUGGGGUAAAGGCCUACCAAGGCGACGAUCCGUAACUGGUCUGAGAGGAUGAUCAGUCACACUGGAAAUGAGAAACGGUCCAGACUCCUAAGGGAGGCAGCAGUGGGGAAUAUUGGACAAUGGGCGAAAGCCUGAUCCAGCCAUGCCGCGUGUGUGAAGAAGGUCUUCGGAUUGUAAAGCACUUUAAGUUGGGAAGAAGGGAAGUAAGUUAAUACCUUGCUGUUUUGACGUUACCAACAGAAUAAGCACCGGCUAACUUCGUG
rnacentral:rRNA from 1 species